rnacentral:rRNA from 1 species
GCAGCAUAACACUUCGGUGUUGAUGGCGACCGGCGCACGGGUGCGUAACACGUAUAGAACCUACCCAUAACAGGGGGAUAGCCCAGAGAAAUUUGGAUUAAUACCCCAUAGUGUAUUAAUGAGGCAUCUCAUUUUUAUUAAAGAUUUAUCGGUUAUGGAUGGCUAUGCGUCCUAUUAGUUUGUUGGUGAGGUAAUGGCUCACCAAGGCUACGAUAGGUAGGGGUUCUGAGAGGAAUGUCCCCCACACUGGUACUGAGACACGGACCAGACUCCUACGGGAGGCAGCAGUGAGGAAUAUUGGACAAUGGGCGCAAGCCUGAUCCAGCCAUGCCGCGUGCAGGAAGAAGGCUUUCUAGUUGUAAACUGCUUUUAUUCACGAGGAAUAUGUCCCUUGCGAGGGAUUUUGACGUUAGUGUUUGAAUAAGCACCGGCUAACUCCGUGCCAGCAGCCGCGGUAAUACGGAGGGUGCA